GGGGGUAUAGCUCAGUGGUAGAGUGUUUGACUGCAGAUCAAGGGGUCCUUGGUUCAAAUUCAAGUGCUCCCU
rnacentral:tRNA from 1 species